rnacentral:rRNA from 1 species
AUUGAACGCUGGCGGCAUGCCUUACACAUGCAAAUCGAACGGUAACGGGCCUUCGGGUGCCGACGCGUGGCGAACGGGUGAGUAAUACAUCGGAACGUGCCCGAUCGUGGGGGAUAACGAGGCGAAAGCUUUGCUAAUACCGCAUACGAUCUACGGAUGAAAGCAGGGGACCGCAAGGCCUUGCGCGGACGGAGCGGCCGAUGGCGGAUUAGGUAGUUGGUGGGAUAAAAGCUUACCAAGCCGACGAUCUGUAGCUGGUCUGAGAGGAUGAUCAGCCACACUGGGACUGAGACACGGCCCAGACUCCUACGGGAGGCAGCAGUGGGGAAUUUUGGACAAUGGGCGCAAGCCUGAUCCAGCCAUGCCGCGUGCAGGAUGAAGGCCUUCGGGUUGUAAACUGAUUUUGUACGGAACGAAAAGCCUUCUUUUAAUACAGGAGGGUCAUGACGGUACCGGAAGAAUAAGCACCGGCUAACUACGUG